rnacentral:lncRNA from 1 species
AAUACGCAACCAAAUCUCCAAGUAUUAUUUAUGUUUCUGGUAAAGGCGUUUGAUUGGGUAUUAGUUUGAGGUAGGCGUGUUUUCGGAAACAUUCCUCCAAUCAACUGACCUAUUUGACAUACAUGUGUGCGCUGAUGCGUGUACACUGGCUAUUGUAACGGCACGUGUGACUGUCUCACAUCGAAAUCUGUCGAGCGUGACCAAUGUUUAUUGUAGAAAUUUUUGUCAUGUGGUCAAAUUAUUUGACAUACAAGUUUUAAAGGCUAAAACUUAAAUUUGCAUUUUGAAAGAUUAUUUUCGG